rnacentral:rRNA from 1 species
GACGAACGCUGGCGGCGUGCUUAACACAUGCAAGUCGAGGGGCAGCAUGGUCGAAGCUUGCUUCGACUGAUGGCGACCGGCGCACGGGUGCGUAACGCGUAUCGAACCUGCCCUGUACACGGGGAUAGCCUUGCGAAAGUAAGAUUAAUACCCGAUGCCAAGUUGAGAUCGCAUGAUUUUGAUUUGAAAGAAAUUCGGUAUAGGAUGGCGAUGCGUCUGAUUAGGUAGAUGGCGGGGUAACGGCCCACCAUGCCGACGAUCAGUAGGGGUUCUGAGAGGAAGGUCCCCCACAUUGGAACUGAGACACGGUCCAAACUCCUACGGGAGGCAGCAGUGAGGAAUAUUGGUCAAUGGGCGAGAGCCUGAACCAGCCAAGUAGCGUGCAGGAUGACGGCCCUAUGGGUUGUAAACUGCUUUUAUGUGGGAAUAAAGUGAGGGACGUGUCCCUUUUUGUAGGUACCACAUGAAUAAGGACCGGCUAAUUCCGUGCCAGCAGCCG